AUACUAUGUUGGUUUUGAGUGACCUGGGGGGUGGGGGUUUGGCAAAAAACAGGAGCUCCUGAGGGUUUAGUUUCUAUCGCUUGAAUUGGAGUAGCACCAGAAACAUUUAAUGAGGAGUUGGUGGAAGGUUGGACUGAGAAAGGAUGAAGAUUUGAGAGAUGGGAAUUGGAAGAGGUUGAUAUAAGGGAAGAAUUGGCAGGGUGUACAAUCUCAACAGUUGGAAUAUGAGGAGGUAAAAUAGGAGGAGCUAAAUCUUUGGAGGAAGAACCUGCAUAUGAAUGCUAGAAACAACAAAUAAAGAUGAAAAGGAAAACAACUGUUAAUCAAAGAUAACAUUUCUUGCAAUAUAAUUUUUUCUUCGGAUGUAAGACAUUUGAACCAUUUAGACUGAGGAGCAUAGACCAGAAAAAUACAUUGUUAAGACCUAUAGUCCAUUUUAUGAGUGUUAAAGGGUCUGAGAUGAGGAUAGCAUGCACAACCAAAAACUUUUAGCAUGUUGUGAUUUAGUUUCACAUUAUGUAACAUCUCAUAAGGUGAUUUAUAGUUCAAAACUUUGGUAGAAAGUCUAUUGAUAAAAAAUGCAGAGGUCAAGAACGCAUCUUCCCA